AGUAAUGUGAAUUGCAGAAUUCAGUGAAUCAUCGAAUCUUUGAACGCAUCUUGCGCCCUUUGGUAUUCCGAAGGGCAUGCCUGUUUGAGUGUCAUGAAAUUUUCAACCUCUGAAAUUUUUAUAAUUGAAGAGGCUUGGACUUGGAGGUUGUGCUGGCUUUUUUUAAAGUACGGCUCCUCUUAAAUAUAUUAGUGCGAAACUUAUGGAUCGCUCUUCCCUGUGAUAAUUAUCGACGCUGUGGGUGUGAAGUAUUUUUAAUAUUUCGUGCUUCUAAUAGUCCUUUAUAAGGACAGACAUAAACUUUGACAUCUGACCUCAAAUCAGGUAGGACUACCCGCUGAACUUAAGCAUAUCAAUAAGCGGAGGAA
rnacentral:rRNA from 1 species